CCGUGACAAAACAGGGCAGGAAGAAACGAUGAUGUCACCUGGAAUGUUGACCUCAGGCACGUGCUUCAGAGUCUGGAGGGCUCCACCCACAUGACCCAACUACCUUCCAAAGGCCCCCCUCUCCUGAUACCAUCCCUUUGAGGAUUUCAGCUUCAGCACAGGAGUUUCGGGGCAAACAUCAGUCCAUGGCCUGAGGUCAUUAGCGUGAGCUCUGAUCCAGUAUGACUGGAGUCUUCAUAAAAGGGGAAACCUGGACCCGGAGACAGGCAUGCACAGAGGGAGAAGGUGACCACUUUGCACGUCCUGGGGAGGAGCCUAGAGCGGAUGCUUCCCUGCUGCCUUCAGAUGGAGCACGGCCCUGUCCACACCUUGAUCCAGGACGUAUGACCUCCAGCCUGCCAUCACACUAUCUACCUUGAGGACGACUGAGGUGGGCCAUCUAUUGACCGGGAUUCAGCCCAGGAGGAGUCAGAUUUAUUACCAAGAUUCCCUGCUCUCCAGUGCUUGUGCCGCCAAAAGUUCGACCGUAUCCAGCUGUUUCCUAAGGAUGCUGUGCAGAAAUAAAUCGGACAGGACAGUCGGAGGACUGGCAGCAGCAGCAGCAGCUCUUACCAUCACUCUCAGCGAACUCAGUCCUGCCCUGGAACCACCUGUGUCAAACUGGGACAGUGGGGAGGGUCCGGAUGGAUGGAAGGAGGGCCUUCUGUGUGUGCCAAUUGGUCUGGCAAACAAAUACUUACCAUUGCGAUUCUGUAUCCCGAGGAACGUUUAUUUAGAAAUUAACAAGAAUUUAAAGUUAUUAGUGGAACAAAUGCCCAUGGAAAUAUACUGUAGAGUACUAAAUACUACAAUAUACUAAAUAAAUGCUAAAUAAUACUAAAAAUCA